UAACGAUAUUUGCGCCAUUGUCCGUGA
rnacentral:piRNA from 1 species